rnacentral:rRNA from 1 species
GAUGAUACGCGAGGAACUUACCUGGGCUAGAACGCAGAAUGACAGAUGCCGAAAGGUGUUUUCCCAGCAAUGGGCAUUUUGCGAGGUGCUGCAUGGUUGUCGUCAGCUCGUGCCGUGAGGUGUCGGGUUAAGUCCCAUAACGAGCGCAACCCCUAUUGUUAGUUGCCAGCGGGUAAUGCCGGGAUCUCUAACGAAACUGCCGGUGUAAACCGGAGGAAGUGGGGAUGACGUCAAAUCAGCACGGCCCUUAUGUCCAGGGCUACACACGUGUUACAAUGGCCGAUACAACGGGCAGCCACCUGGUGACAGGGAGCUAAUCCUAAAAGUCGGUCUCAGUUCGGAUCGAAGUCUGCAACCCGACUUCGUGAAGCUGGAUUCGCUAGUAAUCGCAGAUCAGCCAUGCUGCGGUGAAUACGUUCCCGGGCCUU